rnacentral:rRNA from 1 species
CCCUACGGGGUGCAGCAGGCAUGUAACCGAAUGUCCCGGCGUGACCGCGCAGUGCGGAGGCCAGAGGCAGGGACUACGCGCACGGAUGCUCCUGUCACUGCGUGAUGAAUUCUACAAAAUACACCUCCUUAACUUUUCCGGAAACCAUCACAGCAUUGACCUGUGACUUUAUCUCCUCGGCCAGGGAAAUCUUCUUCUCCAGGGUAUCCAUGUCAGCAUACUUUCUACCGUUUAACUGUACUUGUAUUAUAUGAGAAAUCUGAUCAGACCUGCUGUGCAGUUCGGAUGUCAGCAGUUCACUGGCCUCAUAUCCCAGGGAAACGGUGAUACGGGCAAAGUGAGGUUCGGCAUCCGCCGUUACCACGGAAAACGAGGGCAGCCUGAAAUCUGCCAGGGGCGUUGGCGGGGGGGC